rnacentral:lncRNA from 1 species
CAUAUCUGCUCCCCAUCACAAUGCUGUCAGAGGAUCGACAGCAUACAGCUUCCAUAGACACAGGAGGAGCAUCUCUGAACCUGAUCUUGUCUGUACAAGCCAAGGCCAUAAACCAGCCUGGAAAUCUGAGUUAUGGCAGAUACUGAUAGGCAAGCAGAGAUAUUCUUUGGGAAAUCUGAUUCCAGGUGAAGGGAAAUCCAGGAAAGAGGUACGUAGUCAGCUCCUGGGAGCAGUAUUUGCCAUUACUGUGUGCACACUUGCUGCUCUUUGGACUGCACUAACCUCCCACCCCACCCCACAAUCACCACUGAUGAUUUAUGCCCUUCCAGCCACAUCCUGGGUCUUUCAGCAUAUUACACUACAUUUUUCAUUGCAUUGCUUCACUCCAGUCAGAAAAAUGACAGUAGCUGUGUACAAUCAGAAGCAGCUGCAAACAUGAAAUGCAACCCCCUGGAGAAAGUUGCUCGCUUGAGCAGCUGCAGUUGAGGGAGAUGGCACUGACCUUGGUCUGUGUCCCUUUAAAGAUGUGGAGUC